rnacentral:rRNA from 1 species
GACCAGACUCCUACGGGAGGCAGCAGUGGGGGAUAUUGCACAAUGGGGGGAACCCUGAUGCAGCGACGCCGCGUGAGUGAAGAAGUAUUUCGGUAUGUAAAGCUCUAUCAGCAGGGAAGAAGAAAGACGGUACCUGAGUAAGAAGCCCCGGCUAACUACGUGCCAGCAGCCGCGGUAAUACGUAGGGGGCAAGCGUUAUCCGGAUUUACUGGGUGUAAAGGGAGCGUAGACGGUAUGGCAAGUCUGAAGUGAAAGCCCCGGGCUCAACCUGGGAAUUGCUUUGGAAACUGUGCAGCUGGAGUGCAGGAGAGGUAAGCGGAAUUCCUAGUGUAGCGGUGAAAUGCGUAGAUAUUAGGAGGAACACCAGUGGCGAAGGCGGCUUACUGGACUGUAACUGACGUUGAGGCUCGAAAGCGUGGGGAGCAAACAGGAUUAGAUACCCUGGUAAC